rnacentral:rRNA from 1 species
AUUGAACGCUAGCGGGAUGCUUUACACAUGCAAGUCGAACGAGUGGCGGACGGGUGAGUAAUAUAUCGGAACGUGCCCAGUAGCGGGGGAUAACUACUGGAAACGGUAGCUAAUACCGCAUACCAUCGGAUGUGCCCAGAUGGGAUUAGCUAGUAGGUGGGGUAAAGGCUCACCUAGGCGACGAUCCCUAGCUGGUCUGAGAGGAUGACCAGCCACACUGGAACUGAGACACGGUCCAGACUCCUACGGGAGGCAGCAGUGGGGAAUAUUGCACAAUGGGCGCAAGCCUGAUACAGCCAUGCCGCGUGUAUGAAGAAGGCCUUCGGGUUGUAAAGUACUUUCAGCGGGGAGGCGGUAUCUGCAGAAUAAGCACCGGCUAACUACGUGCCAGCAGCCGCGGUAAUAC